GAGAUACUAGUAAUAAAUAUUACACUGCCUUGUCAAGGCAGAGUUGCAGGUUAAACCCCUGUGUAUCUUG
rnacentral:tRNA from 1 species